rnacentral:rRNA from 1 species
GACGAACGCUGGCGGCGUGCCUAAUACAUGCAAGUAGGACGCAGUUGCGAACGGGUGAGUAACGCGUAGGUAACUACCUAUUAGAGGGGGCUGACAAUGGGAAACGAUAGCUAAUACCGCAUACUGGUCGAUGGACCUGCGUUGUAUUGGCUAGUAGGUCGGGUAAUGGCCUACCUAGGCAACGCUACAUAGCCGACCUGAGAGGGUGAUCGGCCAACCUGGGACUGAGACACGGCCCAGACUCCUACGGGAGGCAGCAGUAGGGAAUCUUCGGCAAGGGGGGGAACCCUGACCGAGCAACGCCGCGGGAGUGAAGAAGGUUUUCGGAUCGUAAAGCUCUGUUGUUAGGGAAGCGGUACUUAACCAGAAAGGGACGGCUAACUACGUGCCAGCCGCCGCGGUAAUAC